rnacentral:sRNA from 1 species
ACGUGGCCAUUAUUAGACGUCUAGAUAUCAUUAAGAAGAAAAGCUCUAUAUAAAUAUAUGUAUAUUAAAAAAAUACCUAAACUUGAAAGGUAAAAUGUAUGGAAAAAAAACAACAAAUCAUAUCUUAAAUCAAAAUACUGACGGGAGUUGAUUUUAUCGAUUAUUAUUCAUUUUAAAAUCAAUAAUAUGUUACUUUUCUUUGCAAGUUGUUUAUAAUCUGUCUUUGAAUUACGCACAUUUUUAUAUAAUAUGAAUUCUCGCAAAUUCCGACAAGAAUUUUGAGAAAAACUCCAUAUGAAUCGUGUUGUGUAAUGAUUAAAGAUAGAAUUGAUUCCAUCAACCUAUGUAUAAGUAAUCGAAAUACUCAAAAAAUUGUAUGGAUCCAAGCAAUAAUGAUCUCUAGUCUCGUUCAACCAGAUGCUCGACUGUCUCUGUUAAUCUCCAACAAACAAGAGAAUGUGUAUACCAGGUCACGUGAUAGCUUGAUGACGCGACCUCUAAAUAUAGAAUGACUCUCUGCUUGUCGGAGAUUUACGUAGACAACCGAUGGUUGACGGAGACUUUAUUGAACUCUGGCGUAUGAAUACAUACGACUGCAAAAAAUAUCUAAAUUGUUCCUACUAUUUAACAUCUGACUAUUUUCAAGGUAUUCAUAAAUAAGUUUCUUAAAAACCAAUGCUUCAAGAUACAUUACAUUGAAUUUAUCGAUUAUUUUCCAGAACUAAAUCUUGUCAGCGUUGAUGAUUUGUGCUUAGGUCCAAACACUGUUUCACUUUCGGUUUGUCAGAGUAACUGCAUAGGAGAGUUGAUUAAAAUCAACUCCCAAAAACUACGUAGAACGUAUAGUUAAUUUAUUGACCUCUCAGCCUCCUUAAUCUACAACAGUCUGACUCAGUGAGCAUCCGGAACAUCUUUGGCCUUUCACAAAAAAAAUCUAUGAAAAGACUGAUGUGUUCCGGAUGACUCAGUGAGGGAGCUAGCCGGAAAACGCGUCUAAUAACCCGGAUGUACACGUGACUGCGAAAAUAUAGGGAUAAAUACUACGUAUCACAUACAUGUCGCAUAUUCUCUGUUCGCCUUUUUGUACAGAACAAAUAUACACAUUUAUUUUCUAAAGAUAUGUACAUGUUGCGUAUGGAUUGUAAAUUAUCCAUGUAAUUGUAUGUGUAUCAAUUACUUAGCCUUAUUUGCAUAAUUCGAAAAAAAUAUAUCUAAUUAAAUAUGUUGUUCUGCUGUGAUACAUUUUAACCCGAGUAAUUUCUAUAAUAAUUAACACACGUUUGCUUCAGUGAGCUAAUUAAGGUUUUUAAUUAUCUGCUGUAUGGUAUACGUGUAUAUAAUGUAUUUAAUUAUUUAUUGUGAAAUCCAUUUUUCAUACAGGUGUAUAUUUUUAAUAAAACCACUUUUUGAAAU